rnacentral:rRNA from 1 species
UACGUAUGGGGCAAGCGUUAUCCGGAUUUACUGGGUGUAAAGGGAGCGUAGGCGGCAUAGCAAGUCAGAAGUGAAAGCCUGGGGCUCAACCCCGGAAUUGCUUUUGAAACUGUUAAGCUGGAGUGUCGGAGGGGUAAGCGGAAUUCCCAGUGUAGCGGUGAAAUGCGUAGAUAUUAGGAGGAACACCGGUGGCGAAGGCGGCUUACUGGACGAUUACUGACGCUGAGGCUCGAAAGCGUGGGGAGCAAAC